CAAAAAUUUAAUUCUUGUUUUUAGAUUAGUUUUUCUUUAAAGUUAUAUGGAUUAUAUUAAUAAUAUAUUUAUUUCAGUAAUUUAAUUUUUAUAUAAAUUUUUAUUUAUAAAGUUAAAAGGAUAAUUUAAAUUAGAUUAAAUUUGUGCCAGCAUUCGCGGUUAUACAAUUUAUUUAAAUUAAUCUCUUAGGAUAAUAAGGAAAGGGGUUCGUGAUUAAUUAUUAGAAUAUUUAGGUGGAAUUUAUAUUUAAUUUAUUUUUCUAUAUAUAUUUUUUUGUAUUAUAAAGUAAUAAACUAGGAUUAGAUACCCUAUUAUAAUUAUAGUAAUAAUUUUACAGAAAAGUAUUUUUAUAUUUUUAAGAAACUCAAAUAAUUUGGCGGUAAUUUAUAUUUUUAGAGGAACCUGUAAUUUUAAAUUGAUAAACCACGAUAGUUUAAACCAUUAAUUUUAUUUGUAUACCGCUAUGAUUAGGAGUGUAUUUAUAAGUUAUUCUCUUUUUUUUAUUAAAUUUUAUAUUAGGUAAAGGUGCAGUUUUUAAAUGGUUUUUAUGGGUUACAUUAAAAGUUAAUUUAGUAGGAUUUUUAUAUAUAUUAUGAAUUGAAAUUGGAUUUAACAGUAAAUUUUAAUAUAAAUUAUAUAAUUUGAAUUUAUCUUAAUUUAUGUACAUAUUGCCCGUCGCUCCUUGUUAAAGAGGAUAAGUCGUAACAAAGUAAUUUUACUGGAAAGUAAGAUUAGAAAGUCUAUUUUAAAUUAUAUAUUAUA
rnacentral:rRNA from 1 species